CGCUGAACUUAAGCAUAUCAAUAAGCGGAGGAAAAGAAACCAACAGGGAUUGCCUCAGUAACGGCGAGUGAAGCGGCAACAGCUCAAAUUUGAAAUCUGGCUCUUUUCAGGGUCCGAGUUGUAAUUUGUAGAGGAUGUCUUCGGGUCUGACCCCGGCCUAAGUUCCUUGGAACAGGACGUCACAGAGGGUGAGAAUCCCGUAUGUGGCUGGAGGUCUAUUCCCAUGUGAAGCUCCUUCGACGAGUCGAGUUGUUUGGGAAUGCAGCUCAAAAUGGGUGGUAAGUUUCAUCUAAAGCUAAAUACCGGCGGGAGACCGAUAGCGCACAAGUAGAGUGAUCGAAAGAUGAAAAGCACUUUGGAAAGAGAGUUAAAAAGUACGUGAAAUUGUUGAAAGGGAAGCGCUUGCGACCAGACUUGCCCUCAGUUGAUCAGCCGGGGAUAGACCCCGGUGCACUCUGCUGAGGUCAGGCCAGCAUCGGUUUAGGCGGUUGGAGAAAGGCCUUGGGAAUGUGGCUCCCUCCGGGGAGUGUUAUAGCCCACGGUGUCAUGCAACCAGCCUGGACCGAGGACCGCGCUUCGUGCUAGGAUGCUGGCUUAAUGGUCGUAAGCGACCCGUCUUGAAACACGGACC
rnacentral:rRNA from 1 species